UAGUGUCAGAAAGAAGAAACGUUUAAAAGUUAACAUGAAAACAAUGUCCGCUCUAGCUCGUUGACACUCAAUUGAAAGAACUGACAAAAAAAGGUAACAAAUAACUUUGAUACUCACGUUCACGUAACGUUCUCCUUGCAAAAUUUCACCAACAAGCCGAAGCCACCACACACAACAGACGAAAUCCUAAGGUGGUGAUGGACGCCAGUCCAUCUUUUACACACUUCAACAACCACACAAAUUUACCAGUCCAACUUCUACUCUGAAGACAAUGCAGUGACAUUGGUUCAUGUGCCUUGUCUGCAAGUGAUUCCAGUCAUUUCAGCACCUGGGCAUCAGUGUUUAGUCAGUGAAUUGCUGAAAGGAAAAACACCCAGUUGGUUAGGUUACGAUGACCAUUGAUAAUUGGAGAGCAGCAUUGGAAUGUGACAGGUUGUCUGGGCUAAAAGCCCCGAAAAGCCCCCCAAGAUUUCUUUGGGGAAACUUCGUCUGCUCCUAAGCUACACAGUACACAACUACACAUCAUAAGUUACUUUAAAAAAUAAAAACAAAUUCAGAUUAGGA
rnacentral:lncRNA from 1 species